UAUAAAUGCAGUCGAAUCUGCCCUUGUUAUUAGUAUAACAUUUCAUGGUUAAGCGACACGCACAUCUUUGAGUGUGACAAUGAAGCAAUUUUUAUUUUUCACCAUUUUAUCAUUUUUGGCUUUCAACGAUGUAUGUAUCAAAGGAGCCACCGCGAAUAAUAUCUACCAGAGCAUCGUUUUUAAGUUUGCUCUUCAAGCAAGUGCAAUUGAUUGGUAUCCUAAGAUUGAAGCUGUAUUCUCAUUAGCUCCAGAUUUUUCCGAUCAAGCUACUGAAAUUUUAAAUAACGUUCUUCGUAUCAGUGGGAAUCAGGAAAUAAACACACUUUGCAAUGAAUUGCUGUCGAUUCCAGCCGAUAUUGAUCAAAUUCCGAAUGACGUUCAAAGCGUCUUCAAUAACUGGACAUUUGUAUUAUCAGCAACCGAAGGCUAUGUCAACGCUAAUUUAAAAACCAUUACAAAUUUUCAUCAAAAAUAUGAAACUGGAUUCAUAAAACAUAUUAAUUUGGUGAAGAAAUCACGAUCACCAUCUGCUAUUUUAAAUUAUCUUAAGGCAGCCAAGAAAUUUGUAAACGAUUAUCAAAAGCGUCGUAAUAUUUGGGCAAAUGGUUUGAUGGGCGCAUCAUUGCAUUUUUAAACGAAUGCAGUAGGAAUUGCAAAAACCAAUUUUGAAAAUGAAUUUGAAAAAAGAAAACCAUUUUAAUUUGGUGAUCCGUUCGAUGGGACUGAGGUAGGAAAAAGUUAACUGUUUGAGUGUCAAUAGCCGAUUGUUUGCUACAUAUGUCCAUGUUACGGAUUUCUACAGAAAACACACAAGACUUUCGUUUUAUUCUUUUCUUAUGUUAAUAAAUAAAAAGAUUACAAUGUUCAUAUUUACAUAGCUUAA